rnacentral:rRNA from 1 species
AACACAUGCAAGUCGAACGGGCGUAGCAAUACGUCAGUGGCAGACGGGUGAGUAACACGUGGGAACGUACCUCUUGGUUCGGAACAACACAGGGAAACUUGUGCUAAUACCGGAUAAGCCCUUACGGGGAAAGAUUUAUCGCCGAGAGAUCGGCCCGCGUCUGAUUAGCUAGUUGGUAGGGUAAUGGCCUACCAAGGCGACGAUCAGUAGCUGGUCUGAGAGGAUGAUCAGCCACAUUGGGACUGAGACACGGCCCAAACUCCUACGGGAGGCAGCAGUGGGGAAUAUUGGACAAUGGGGGCAACCCUGAUCCAGCCAUGCCGCGUGAGUGAUGAAGGCCCUAGGGUUGUAAAGCUCUUUUGUGCGGGAAGAUAAUGACGGUACCGCAAGAAUAAGCCCCGGCUAACUUCGUGCCAGCAGCCGCGGUAAUUC